GGGGGGGGGGGGGGGGGGGGGGGGGGCGGGCGAGGGGGGGGGAGGGGCGGGGAGCUUGCGUCUGUGAGGUUAGCGGCGGGCGGGUGAGUAACGCGUGGAUAACCUUCCUAUAAUACUGGGAUAACUUCGGGAAACCGUAGCUAAUACCGGAUAAUCUUUUGCACCGCAUGGUUCAAACGUGAAAGACGGCCUUGCUGUCACUUCUCGCUGGCUCCGCGCUGCAUUAGCUAGUUUGUAAGCGAACGGCUUACCAAGGCAACGAUGCAUAGCCGACCUGAGAGGGUGAUCGGCCACACUGGAACUGAGACACGGUCCAGACUCCUACGGGAGGCAGCAGUAGGGAAUCUUCCGCAAAGGGCGAAAGCCUGACGGAGCAACGCCGCGUGAGUGAUGAAGGUCUUCGGAUCGUAAAACUCUGUUAUUAGGGAAGAACAUAUGUGUAAGUAACUGUGCACAUCUUGACGGUUCCUAAUCAGAAAGCCACGGCUAACUACGUG
rnacentral:rRNA from 1 species